AGAGUGGUAUCAUUAUUGCUUAUGUUGGAGUUUUGCUUCCCUGACAGCCACAAUUCACCACAACGGCAGACAAACUGGUUCCUUCUCAACUCCUUCAGGAAGGAGACUGACUGCAGAUGGAUAUCUUGUUUUGGGGCAAGAUCAGGAUUCCUACGGUGGAUCAUUUCAAUCCCAUCAAGCUUUCGGUGGUGAACUUUACAAGUUAAACAUCUUUUCCACGAGGCUGAGAUCAUCUGAAGUGAGCGAACUGUAUUCUGCAGGACGUUGUUCUGAUAUUGAGAAGAAACACGGUGAAACUCGUAAGCUAAAGUGGGAACAAAUUCUGCAGCAAUCAAGAACUGGUGAUGUGGGUGAAAUUAUCGAAACAUGUGCACUUGAAAAGAAGCUCCAGUUUGUAGAAGGGGAACUGUCGAAGAAGUCAUCUGAGCUUGAAGAGGUUGGAGCUAAAUUUGAGCAAACUACAGAUCAGCUUUCUAACACAGUUACACAGCUGAACCAGACAGAGACACAGUUGGACAAAACGGAGACAAAGCUGAACCAAAAAGAAACAAAGUUGAACCAAACACAGACAAAGCUCAACUAAACGGAGACAAAUUUGAACCAGAUGGAGACACAGCUGGACCAAAUAGAGACACAGCUGAACCAGACAAAGACACAGCUGGAAUAAACGGAGACAAAGCAGAAAAACGGAGACAAAGCUGAACCAAACGGAGACGAAGCUGGGAGAGGCUGUAGUUAACCUUGAAACAACUAUCAGCCAGUUGAACCAGACAGAGAAGGACUUAGAGGAAAUACAAAACAACUUGAACGAAACUCUGGCUGAUGUGGAGGAACUAGAGGAGGAGCUAGAAAAGAUAAAGAAGAGUAUCUCUGGGUACGACUGUUUUAGAUUGACGAAUUCUUCGCAUUGGGAUGUGCUAUACACAUCGUCUUUUUUUUGAAAAAGUCUUGACGGAAGACAUGCUUCAAAUCCUCUACAAAAGUUGGGAAAAACUGAGACAUUUUAAAGGGAUGCCAGUGACACAGAAUCUAAUAGAGUUCUUCAAGACAUAUUUCCAUGACGGUCUGGACGGAUGCCAUGUUUAGAUUAGGAAACGGUCGACCAGUAAACUAUUUUGUCAUCAAAUUCAGACUUCAGAGGCAACAUGUAAGUGUGGCGGGUGUGGCACCACACUAUUGGCUCAUUUCCGCACAUAUUCGUAAUUUUGGCCAUUUCCGCACAAUUUAGCACUAGUUAGGACAUUUCGGCACUAUUGUUGUGAUUUCU